rnacentral:rRNA from 1 species
GACGAACGCUGGCGGCGUGCCUAAUACAUGCAAGUAGAACGCACAGUUUAUACCGUAGCUUGCUACACCAUAGACUGUGAGUUGCGAACGGGUGAGUAACGCGUAGGUAACCUGCCUGGUAGCGGGGGAUAACUAUUGGAAACGAUAGCUAAUACCGCAUAAUAUUAAUUAUUGCAUGAUAAUUAAUUGAAAGGUGCAAUUGCACCACUACCAGAUGGACCUGCGUUGUAUUAGCUAGUAGGUGAGGUAACGGCUCACCUAGGCGACGAUACAUAGCCGACCUGAGAGGGUGAUCGGCCACACUGGGACUGAGACACGGCCCAGACUCCUACGGGAGGCAGCAGUAGGGAAUCUUCGGCAAUGGACGAAAGUCUGACCGAGCAACGCCGCGCGAGUGAAGAAGGUUUUCGGAUCGUAAAGCUCUGUUGUAAGAGAAGAACGGGUGUGAGAGUGGAAAGUUCACACUGUGACGGUAUCUUACCAGAAAGGGACGGCUAACUACGUGC